CUAAAUAACGUGAAAGACGAUGUUUUAUAGGUGCACAAGAGGUGAUGGAAGACGAUGAUGCUAAUGUUGGACAACUAGGCGCAUAGAUGGCAGGAGAAUGAUCUUUGGCAAGCAAAGGUAGAUGCUGACAUGCAGUGGAUUGGACAAAAUUUGAUGGAAGAAAGAAUCAUUUUGAUAUUUAUUUUUGAUGUUUUGUUCAAGCCUUCAAGGGUGGAGACUAUAUGUACUCUUAAGUUUUUUGCAUCAUUUUGACUAGUUGUACUUAGUGUUGGAUUAUAAUUAUAUGACAAUUAAAAUAUUUAUGUUA